UAUUGAUAAUUGAUUUAUAGACGUAUUUCAAUUAUUUGUUUUAUUCACGCUUCUAUCAUUUUUUGAAGCUUUAAAAUGGAUACCGACGAUACGCUCUAAAUAUUGUGGCUCAAACCGUCUCUAACGCCAUAUUGGAGUCAUACUAUAAGUAUGACGAUCCCGGCCAAUCCCAUUUUUUCAGUAGCGGUUAGCCGUAGUUCAUCCCUGCAUUCGAUUGACGACUAGCUUGCUACAACUAGUGCACUUUUAAGAUUGUUGAUUUGUUAUUUAUGGUUUACAUGUUAUGAAAAUGUGAAGUGUUACACGAAAGAAACUAAAAUGCGAAGUCUUAUACAACAAUGGCUACGACCGCAGCAGAUAAAUUAUUUCUAACUCUCGAAUUCGGUUUGCAAGGGACUUUGAAAAUAAUUUCAAAGUUUAACUUACAUGAAUACAGGUCCAAGCACUGAGUGACAAUUUGGUGUGUCAAUAAUGUUGGACUGCAGUAAAGACUCAAGACAUCACUCAAGUAAGACUUUCUGCAGGUCAACAAGAAAAUGUUCCAAUUAUAGCCGUGGCAAAUCUAUUUUAUUGGCAUUAGAAUUGUUAUUGCCCUCCAAAUUACUUCACAUAAGUUGCCAAGAUCAGCUAAAGUGUGUCAUACUUGCUGGUGAAGAACUGAUAGAGCAGCAUCACAUUUAAAUGAAGAAAAAGCAUCUGAGGUUAUUUAGAAUCAGAAAAUAUAAACAAUACACUUUAAACAGAUUUUUAAAAUACUAUUCUCAAAGUGUAUACCAAUUACAUGUGAGCACAAAAUAUUCAAAAUCGAUGUUUCUUCUGCAACUGUAAUGGAUGAGUCAAUACUCAUAAUUCCACAAGUAAAUCUAUUUUAUGAUUAUAAUAAUCGUUUCUCUGGAUUGUUCAAACUAUUUGAGCAAAUCCUAGGAUUCAGUUUUAGAUUCUCUGGAUAAUCCUAUAUGAAGUGACCACUUACCACCAGGUGGCUCAUUUGCAUACCCAUUUUAUUACGGCACAAGUUAACGAUUUUGCAGCUUUAUUGAAGAACAAUAAUAGGGUAAUACAUUUAGAUUUAAAAAAGUAUAUGAACCAUUAGCCUGAGCAUAUUAUGCUAUAUUAUAUUGGAUUGCCAAGGAACAGAUAGAACAAAAUCUGUCUGCAGUUUCGAUGCUGGUAAAUAAACAUAAAUGUGAUUUUGCACUUGUGGUCUAUUUAAUGAAGCUACGAAAGGGUGAUAGUAAUUAUUGUAUUUCAUUACUCAUAUAAACAUGGGACUUGAAAUAUUAAAACAGGAUAUUAUUCAUAGAAAUCUGCACAUUAACCAUAUGAGCAUUUUCGGGGAGAAAAAAGAACGCUCAUUGUAUUUGCAGACAUAACACAUUUAUAAUGAGAAUUCCUAUUAUUUAUGCAAAUAAAACCUAUUUCUUGCACAAGUUUUAUCUUUAAGUAAGCUGUGAUGAUAACAUUAUAAAUGUUGCAGUGCAUUUAGGUUAUGUCUUGGAACUUUAUUUUUAUCUACGGUUUGAUUUUGAAGUAUGAUGUACAUAUCUUCUCAUGUGGGCCGCAGCAACGUGUGUGUAGUGUGAGCGCCGUGUUUUAAAGUCAGAGUAACAAACUAUUAUCUUUCUCCUAUUUCACAUUAUUAUCACCCAUCCAUUGGAUUGUGAUCUUGAAGUGUGUAAGGCCAAGGGUGCUCUCUCCAGAAGUCGAGUCUCCACGACUGAGAUCCCUUAUUUCGAGGUAACCCACAUUCUAUCAUCUCAAUUUUACUAUUUUGUUUAAAACAGAAGAAUGGGUAGCAAAACUUGCUUAUCAGACGGAUAAAUUCGCUCAUUUAAAUAAGCUAUAAGCAUUUAAAUAAAAAAUGCAAGGCAGCAAAUCUAAUAUUUUAUCAUAAUCGGACAAGAUUGAAAGUUUUUACGUUUGGUAUUAUAGAUCAGCCACGCAACAAAUAGUACACUACGUAAA